CCUGCCCACUGAUAUUCUAUUUUAACGGCCGCGGUAUUCUGACCGCGCAAAGGUAGCAUAAUCACUUGUCUUUUAAAUAAGGACUAGUAUGAACGGCAAGACGAAAGCUUAACUGUCUCCUUUACCCAGUCAAUGAAACUGAUCCCCCAGUACAAAAGCUGGAAUUCAAUAAUAAGACGAGAAGACCCUAUGGAACUUUAAGCACGCACCAACCAAUGUUCAACCACAAAAGGCUUGACACGCUGCUUUUGGUUGGGGCAACCACGGAGAAAAACCAUCCUCCAAGAAAUCAAACCAAGUGACACAAAACAAAGUUUUAUCACCUUUCCCAUCGACCCAGUACAACUGAUCAACGAACCAAGCUACCCUAGGGAUAACAGCGCUAUCUUCUUCAAGAGUCCAUAUCGCCAAGAAGGUUUACGACCUCGAUGUUGGAUCAGGGUAUCCAAACAGUGCAGCCGCUGUUAAAGGUUUGUUUGUUCAA
rnacentral:rRNA from 1 species